rnacentral:rRNA from 1 species
AUUGAACGCUAGCGGGAUGCUUUACACAUGCAAGUCGAACGAGUGGCGGACGGGUGAGUACUAUAUCGGAACGUGCCCAGUAGCGGGGGAUAACUACUCGAAAGCGUGGCUAAUACUGCAUAAGAUCGGAGUCGCCGACAUCGGAUUAGCUAGUUGGUGGGGUAAAGGCUCACCAAGGCAACGCUCCGUAGCUGGUCUGAGAGGACGACCAGCCACACUGGGACUGAGACACGGCCCAGACUCCUACGAGAGGCAGCAGUGGGGAAUUUUGGACAAUGGGGGAAACCCUGAUCCAGCCAUCCCGCGUGUAUGAGAAGGCCUUCGGGUUGUAAAGUACUUUUGGCAGAGAGGCGGUAUCUGCAGAGUAAGCAACGGCUAACUACGUGCCAGCAGCCGCGGUAAUAC